UUUCCGUAGGUGAACCUGCGGAAGGAUCAUUAACGAAAUUGUCUUCGGACAUUUUUAUCCUUAACACCUGUGAACUAUUGUAAUUUUUUGCUUUGGUCCUUCGGGGCCAGAGGAUUUAAUCAAAACCUUUUAUUAUUAACCUGAGUCUGAAAAUUGAAAAAUUGAAUUAUUCAAAACUUUCAACAACGGAUCUCUUGGUUCUC
rnacentral:misc_RNA from 1 species